AGUGAACGCUGGCGGUAGGCCUAACACAUGCAAGUCGAACGGCAGCACAGUAAGAGCCUGCUCUUACGGGUGGCGAGUGGCGGACGGGUGAGGAAUACAUCGGAAUCUACUUUUUCGUGGGGGAUAACGUAGGGAAACUUACGCUAAUACCGCAUACGACCUACGGGUGAAAGCAGGGGAUCUUCGGACCUUGCGCGAUUGAAUGAGCCGAUGUCGGAUUAGCUAGUUGGCGGGGUAAAGGCCCACCAAGGCGACGAUCCGUAGCUGGUCUGAGAGGAUGAUCAGCCACACUGGAACUGAGACACGGUCCAGACUCCUACGGGAGGCAGCAGUGGGGAAUAUUGGGCAAUGGGCGCAAGCCUGAUCCAGCCAUACCGCGUGGGUGAAGAAGGCCUUCGGGUUGUAAAGCCCUUUUGUUGGGAAAGAAAAGCAGCAGGUUAAUACCCCGCUGUUCUGACGGUACCCAAAGAAUAAGCACCGGCUAACUUCGUG
rnacentral:rRNA from 1 species